rnacentral:rRNA from 1 species
CCUACGGGCGGCAGCAGUGAGGAAUAUUGGUCAAUGGCCGAGAGGCUGAACCAGCCAAGUCGCGUGAGGGAAGAAUGUCCUAUGGAUUGUAAACCUCUUUUGUCAGGGAGCAAAGUCACCCACGUGUGGGUGUUGGAGAGUACCUGAAGAAAAAGCAUCGGCUAACUCCGUGCCAGCAGCCGCGGUAAUACGGAGGAUGCGAGCGUUAUCCGGAAUCACUGGGCGUAAAGGGCGCGUAGGCGGUAAUAUAAGUCAGAUGUGAAAGGUGGGGGCUCAACCCCUAGAGUGCAACUGAUACUGUAUAACUUGAGUGUGAGAGAGGGAAGCGGAAUUCCUAGUGUAGCGGUGAAAUGCGUAGAUAUUAGGAGGAACACCAGUGGCGAAGGCGGCUUUCUGGCUCAUAACUGACGCUGAGGCGCGAAAGCGUGGGGAGCAAACAGGAUUAGAUACCCCAGUAGUC